rnacentral:rRNA from 1 species
AUGACGAAUUUUGAUAAUGUAGGUGAAGGAGUUGGGAUGGAGAAUGGCAAGUACAAGUCAUCAAAAUAUUGGCCAGAUAUUGAAUCACCUACGGACGUAAAGAUAGGAACAUCUUUCACGAGUAUGAAUGAUACCUCCGUGCCCGUUGAUGACACGGGUGCUCUGGCGACGACACCGGGUAAAGGUGAAGCUACUGAUCCUUUGAUUAUAGACGAUAAUGGAAACUCUCCAUCUUCGGCAUCAACUGUACGUACAAAAGACUUUCCGUCUAUGUCCCGAACCCCGCAGAAUGCUGGUAUUUCUGGUGAGUCUAUGGAUGCUUUGUCACCAACAAAGUCUGAAGACACGUUUGAGAGUUUCCCGGCAGAGAGGAACAUAGGUAAUGGUGAAGGCAGUCAGGAAAAUGAAGAUCUGUUUGCAUCGUCACCACAUUCAAUUCUAGCAAGUUCUCUUAAUAUGACUCCGGAUCACAUAGACGCAGCCAGAGUUUUUGUUGAGAAUCUCGCAUCGUCAAAGAAGCAUGCACACCGAACCGUGGUUGAUGUGCCGCCACCAGAUGGGGACAUAUGCACGCCAGCUAUGCUUCACGAUGUCCUGAUGUUUAAAUGGUUGAAUGGCGCUAUCAUCAAUGCAUAUUGUAAACACCUACAACACCGUGAUUUUUCUGAUCGUUACAUAUCAACACUGUGGUUCCCGAAAUUUAUGUUGAAUAGGGCAAGGGGAAAGACCAAGUCAGUAAAUGAUUUAGACUCAGAGAAUGUUACGAAGAAAACAGAAGUCCUCGCAAGAGUAAUGGAUGAGUAUUUCAGACGGGACAAGGCGUAUUUUCCUAUGCACGUUAAUGAUAAUCAUUGGAUAACCAUAGUGAUGCACACCGUCAAGGAGGAGUUUCAAGUUCUUGACUCAAAUUCUAAAGCCGCAAUUAGCCAAAGAAUUCGCAAUAUGAUUGCCACCCUGAGAGCUGAAAUUUCUAAGGAUAUUAUGGAGGCCAACUCAACUCUUGAAGCAAAAAAUAAUUCCAGAUGCCUCAUUGUGGCCAAUAAAUGA